UAGAGUUUGAUCCUGGCUCAGAUUGAACGCUGGCGGCAUGCCUUACACAUGCAAGUCGAACGGCAGCGCGGGAGCAAUCCUGGCGGCGAGUGGCGAACGGGUGAGUAAUACAUCGGAACAUGUCCAGUAGUGGGGGGUAGCCCGGCGAAAGCCGGAUUAAUACCGCAUACGAUCUACGGAUGAAAGCGGGGGAUCUUCGGACCUCGCGCUAUUGGGGUGGCCGAUGGCGGAUUAGCUAGUUGGUGGGGUAAAGGCCUACCAAGGCGACGAUCCGUAGCUGGUCUGAGAGGACGACCAGCCACACUGGGACUGAGACACGGCCCAGACUCCUACGGGAGGCAGCAGUGGGGAAUUUUGGACAAUGGGCGAAAGCCUGAUCCAGCAAUGCCGCGUGUGUGAAGAAGGCCUUCGGGUUGUAAAGCACUUUUGUCCGGAAAGAAAUCCUUGAUCCUAAUAUGGUCGGGGGAUGACGGUACCGGAAGAAUAAGCACCGGCUAACUACGUGCCAGCAGCCGCGGUAAUACGUAGGGUGCAAGCGUUAAUCGGAAUUACUGGGCGUAAAGCGUGCGCAGGCGGUUUUGUAAGACCGAUGUGAAAUCCCCGGGCUUAACCUGGGAACUGCAUUGGUGACUGCAUCGCUAGAGUAUGGCAGAGGGGGGUAGAAUUCCACGUGUAGCAGUGAAAU
rnacentral:rRNA from 1 species